ACUCUCUAAAAGGCUGAUAAAUAAUUAAUCGUGGUUCUAAGCAUGCUGCAGACACGGGGAACCUUUGCACGAGUGGCUGGAGGCCUCCCAUCCACCCCGGCUCAGGUUUGAAAGGCUCCAGCAGGAUCAGUAAUGUUCAUUACUAUAAAAUCAAAGACCCUCUGUUUUCCAGCAGGACUCGCUCCUUGCAAAGUCUGAGGAGAAAAAGGGAAGGAAGGCAACAAGUGCCGAGCAGCACCCGCCUGGCUGAGCCUAAUUCCGAUGCACCGGCUCUGCUCAGCUCCUUGGGGAAUGAAGGAAUGAAAGGAAAGGAGGGAAAAGAAAAAAAGCCAGGUAAUUGAAAGGAGUAAUUCAGUUUGGGAAG
rnacentral:lncRNA from 1 species